AUUUACAUUUGAGUGAGUGGCGAACUGGUGAGUAACACGUGGGAAACCUGCCCAGAAGCGGGGGAUAACACCUGGAAACAGAUGCUAAUACCGCAUAACAACUUGGACCGCAUGGUCCGAGCUUGAAAGAUGGCUUCGGCUAUCACUUUUGGAUGGUCCCGCGGCGUAUUAGCUAGAUGGUGGGGUAACGGCUCACCAUGGCAAUGAUACGUAGCCGACCUGAGAGGGUAAUCGGCCACAUUGGGACUGAGACACGGCCCAAACUCCUACGGGAGGCAGCAGUAGGGAAUCUUCCACAAUGGACGAAAGUCUGAUGGAGCAACGCCGCGUGAGUGAAGAAGGGUUUCGGCUCGUAAAACUCUGUUGUUAAAGAAGAACAUAUCUGAGAGUAACUGUUCAGGUAUUGACGGUAUUUAACCAGAAAGCCACGGCUAACUACGUGCCAGCAGCCGCGGUAAUACGUAGGUGGCAAGCGUUGUCCGGAUUUAUUGGGCGUAAAGCGAGCGCAGGCGGUUUUUUAAGUCUGAUGUGAAAGCCUUCGGCUCAACCGAAGAAGUGCAUCGGAAACUGGGAAACUUGAGUGCAGAAGAGGACAGUGGAACUCCAUGUGUAGCGGUGAAAUGCGUAGAUAUAUGGAAGAACACCAGUGGCGAAGGCGGCUGUCUGGUCUGUAACUGACGCUGAGGCUCGAAAGUAUGGGUAGCAAACAGGAUUAGAUACCCUGGUAGUCCAUACCGUAAACGAUGAAUGCUAAGUGUUGGAGGGUUUCCGCCCUUCAGUGCUGCAGCUAACGCAUUAAGCAUUCCGCCUGGGGAGUACGGCCGCAAGGCUGAAACUCAAAGGAAUUGACGGGGGCCCGCACAAGCGGUGGAGCAUGUGGUUUAAUUCGAAGCUACGCGAAGAACCUUACCAGGUCUUGACAUACUAUGCAAAUCUAAGAGAUUAGACGUUCCCUUCGGGGACAUGGAUACAGGUGGUGCAUGGUUGUCGUCAGCUCGUGUCGUGAGAUGUUGGGUUAAGUCCCGCAACGAGCGCAACCCUUAUUAUCAGUUGCCAGCAUUAAGUUGGGCACUCUGGUGAGACUGCCGGUGACAAACCGGAGGAAGGUGGGGAUGACGUCAAAUCAUCAUGCCCCUUAUGACCUGGGCUACACACGUGCUACAAUGGAUGGUACAACGAGUUGCGAACUCGCGAGAGUAAGCUAAUCUCUUAAAGCCAUUCUCAGUUCGGAUUGUAGGCUGCAACUCGCCUACAUGAAGUCGGAAUCGCUAGUAAUCGCGGAUCAGCAUGCCGCGGUGAAUACGUUCCCGGGCCUUGUACACACCGCCCGUCACACCAUGAGAGUUUGU
rnacentral:rRNA from 2 species